CGCCUUCUUCUGUCAAAAGAAAGAGAAUGAAAUCGUAACAGGGCUAUUUAUAGCUGAGGAGCGUCACAGAAAAUAGGCCCAGGCCCAGCGGCCAAUCGCCCGACGACACACUUAUGCCGCCUGGCGGUUUGCCCUUAAUCGCGCCACCGUCCGACGGCAGGGGGCCACCCCCCGACGGUUUGCCUCUGAUCGCAAAUUCGCC
rnacentral:lncRNA from 1 species